GCCAGACUCCUACGGGAGGCAGCAGUGGGGAAUAUUGCGCAAUGGGGGAAACCCUGACGCAGCAACGCCGCGUGAGUGAGGAAGUAUCUCGGUAUGUAAAGCUCUAUCAGCGGGGAAGAAGGAAGGCGGUACCCGACUAAGAAGCCCCGGCUAACUCCGUGCCAGCAGCCGCGGUAAUACGGAGGAUGCGAGCGUUAUCCGGAUUUAUUGGGUUUAAAGGGUGCGCAGGCGGUCUGUUAAGUCAGCGGUCAAGGCCGGGGGCCCCCCCCGGGCCCGCCGUUGAGACUGGCAGUCUCGAGUUGGAGAGAAGUAUGCGGAAUGCGCGGUGUAGCGGUGAAAUGCAUAGAUAUCGCGCAGAACUCCGAUUGCGAAGGCAGCAUGCCGGCUCCACACUGACGCUGAGGCACGAAAGCGUGGGUAUCGAACAGGAUUAGAUACCCUUGUA
rnacentral:rRNA from 1 species